UGGAAACUACUGUUGGAUCGAAAAAUUGGACGUCUGAAAUUUGUUCACGUCAUCACGAGUAAAAAAUUUUACUCGGAGAAAUUUACUGAGAGUAAAAUUUUUUACUUGUGAUGACGUGGACGAAUCUUAAACGUCCAUUUUCAGAUCCAGCAAUAAUUUCCA
rnacentral:pre_miRNA from 1 species